AUGGGUGACACUGUUGUGGGUGUUCACUACAGGCCACCUGAUGAGGAAGAGGAAGUCGAUGAGGCCUUCUACAGACAGCUGAAAGCAGCCUCACGAUCCCAGGCCCUGGUUCUCCUGGGGGACUUCAACCACCCCGAUAUCUGCUGGAAAGACAACACAGCUAGGCACAAACAGUCCUGGAGGUUCCUGCAGAGCAUUGGUGACAACUUCUUGACCCAGGUGGUGGAGGAGCCAACAAGGAGAGGUGUGCUGCUGGACCUCGUACUAACAAACAAAGAAGGACUGGUGGAAGAUGUGAAGGUCGGGGGCUGCCUUGGCUGCAGUGACCAUGAGAUGGUGGAGUUCAGGAUCCUGCGAGGAGGAGGCAGGGCACUAAGUAGGAUCACAACCCUGGACUUCAGGAGAGCAAACUUUGGCCUCUUCAGGGACCUACUUGGAGGAAUCCCAUGGGUUAGGGCCCUAGAAGGAAGGGGCGCUCAAGAGAGCUGGUUAAUAUUCAAACAUCACUUCCUCCAGGCUCAAGAUCAGUGCAUCCCUAUGAGUAGGAAGUCAAGCAAAGGAGGCAGGAGACCUGCAUGGAUGAGCAAGGAGCUCCUGGCAAAACUCAAGCAGAAGAAGGAAGUAUACAGAAAGUGGAAAGGGGGACAGGCCACUUGGGAGGAAUAUAGGAAUGUUGUGAGAGUAUGCAGAGAUGCGACGAGGAAGGCUAAGGCCCGUUUGGAAUUAAAUCUGGCAAGAGAUGUCAAGGACAGCAAGAAGGGCUUCUUCAAAUACCUCAGUAGCAAGAGGAAGACUAGGGAAAAUGUGGGCCCUUUGCUGAAUGGGGUGGGUGCCCUGGUGACAAAGGACGCAGAGAAGGCAGAGUUACUGAAUGCUGCCUUUGCUUCAGUCUUUACUGCUCAGGCCAGCCCUCAGGACCCCCAGACCCUGGAGGCAAGAGAGAAAGUCUGGAGAAAGGAAGACUUUCCCUUGGUGGAGGAGGAGUGGGUUAGAGAUCAUUUAAGCAAACUUGACACCCACAAAUCCAUGGGCCCUGAUGGGAUGCACCCACGAGUGCUGAGGGAGCUGGCGGACGUUAUUGCUAAGCCACUCUCCAUCAUCUUUGAAAGGUCAUGGAGAACAGGAGAGGUGCCUGAAGACUGGAAGAAAGCCAAUGUCACCCCAGUCUUCCAAAAGGGCAAGAAGGAGGACCCAGGGAACUACAGGCCAGUCAGCCUCACCUGCAUCCCUGGAAAGGUGAUGGAGCAGCUCAUCCUGGAGGCCAUCUCCAAGCAUGUGGAGGAAAAGAAGGUGAUGAGGAGUAGUCAGCAUGGCUUCACCAAGGGGAAAUCAUGCCUAACCAAUCUGAUAGCCUUCUCUGAUGGAAUGACUGGCUGGGUAGAUGAGGGAGAGCAGUGGAUGUUGUCUACCUUGACUUCAGCAAGGCUUUUGACACUGUCUCCCAUAACACCCUCAUAG
ensembl:lncRNA